rnacentral:rRNA from 1 species
AACGAACGCUGGCGGCAUGCCUAACACAUGCAAGUCGAACGAUGCUUUCGGGCAUAGUGGCGCACGGGUGCGUAACGCGUGGGAAUCUGCCCUUGGGUUCGGAAUAACAGUGAGAAAUUGCUGCUAAUACCGGAUGAUGUCUUCGGACCAAAGAUUUAUCGCCCAGGGAUGAGCCCGCGUAGGAUUAGCUAGUUGGUGGGGUAAUGGCCUACCAAGGCGACGAUCCUUAGCUGGUCUGAGAGGAUGAUCAGCCACACUGGGACUGAGACACGGCCCAGACGCGUGGGCGGGAGAGGGGAGGGGAAGAUUGAACAAGGGGCGCAAGCGUGAUGCAGGAGGGACGGGUGAGUGAGGAAGGUGUGAGGGUUGAAAAGCUCUUUUACGCGGGAUGAUAACGACGGUACGGGGAGAAUAAGCGCCGGCUAACUACGUGCAAGCGGCCGCGGUAAUAGGGGGAAGGGCAUCCGUUUGAGC